rnacentral:rRNA from 1 species
GAUGAACGCUGGCGGCGUGCCUAAUACAUGCAAGUCGAGCGAACGGACGAGAAGCUUGCUUCUCUGAUGUUAGCGGCGGACGGGUGAGUAACACGUGGAUAACCUACCUAUAAGACUGGGAUAACUUCGGGAAACCGGAGCUAAUACCGGAUAAUAUUUUGAACCGCAUGGUUCAAAAGUGAAAGACGGUCUUGCUGUCACUUAUAGAUGGAUCCGCGCUGCAUUAGCUAGUUGGUAAGGUAACGGCUUACCAAGGCAACGAUGCAUAGCCGACCUGAGAGGGUGAUCGGCCACACUGGAACUGAGACACGGUCCAGACUCCUACGGGAGGCAGCAGUAGGGAAUCUUCCACAAUGGGCGAAAGCCUGACGGAGCAACGCCGCGUGAGUGAUGAAGGUCUUCGGGUUGUAAAACUCUGUUGUUAGGGAAGAAAACAUGUGUAAGUAACUGUGCACAUCUUGACGGUACCUAAACAGAAAGCCACGGCUAACUACGUG